AAUGAAUGAUGACAAAAAUGUUUCGGGCCCAAAUGAUGUGUAGUGAUUAUACCGUUGCAUUUUUUCUGACAUU
ensembl:snoRNA SNORD73 Small nucleolar RNA SNORD73